rnacentral:rRNA from 1 species
AACCCCUUGCCAAAUCGGAUCACUGCAUUUGAGAAGGCUGUCAGGUGUUAUGCUGACAACCUAGCUGAAAAUGUCAUCACACCAAUUCUUGGGACUGGUUUUGACUCUUUGGGCGACGCGUACGACUUCUAAAAUCUGUACUCUUGUGAGAAGGGCUUUGCAAUCCGACUUGUAAAAUCUGUACUCUUGUGA